AUUGAACGCUGGCGGCAGGCCUAACACAUGCAAGUCGAACGAGAGGCGGGAGGGAGAGCAAUGUCUGGGCAACGGCCUGGUGGAGGGGGAUAACUACUGGAAACGGUAGCUAAUACCGCAUACAAGCGGAUGGGCCCAGAUGGGAUUAGCUAGUGGGUGGGGUAAAGGCUGACCUAGGCGACGAUCCCUAGCUGGUCUGAGAGGAUGACCAGCCACACUGGAACUGAGACACGGUCCAGACUCCUACGGGAGGCAGCAGUGGGGAAUAUUGCACAAUGGGCGAAAGCCUGAUGCAGCCAUGCCGCGUGUAUGAAGAAGGCCUUCGGGUUGUAAAGUACUUUCAGUGGGGAGGCGUUACCCGCAGAAGAAGCACCGGCUAACUCCGUGCCAGCCGCCGCGGUAAUUC
rnacentral:rRNA from 1 species